UUUCACCAUUUUAGCUCAUUUUUGUUUCUAAAUCUUCUAUUUUUCAUACCUAAAACUAUAUACCUGAAAAGAUCACAUUUUUCCUCAUUUUUUAGGGUAAACCGAAGGUAGAGGUAGUGGUGGUGGUGGUUAUACCUCCGGCCACCGUUUUUAGUGGAGAAAACAUUGUAUUUCAACGUCUAUUAAGGUUGUGAGGUCAAUUUGCAAGGAUCUGACUUAUUUGGUAUUGAUCGGUUUCUAGUUAGCUCGAGGAUUUUAUCGGAAGUGACUUUAUCAGAAGACAAAUACAAAAUUUUUGGUA